GUGCAUUGUGCAUUUGCAUAGUAAUUCCUUAAAACGUUCCCAAGCCUCGUAUAAACUUUCAUCCUCUAAUUGUUUGAAAUAUUUAAAAUCAUUUCGUAGCUU